rnacentral:rRNA from 1 species
AGAACGAACGCUGGCGGCAGGCUUAACACAUGCAAGUCGAACGCGUGUAGCAAUACACGAGUGGCGCACGGGUGAGUAACGCGUGGAUAUCUGCCUUUUGGUUCGGAGUAACCCCGGGAAACUGGGGCUAAUACCGGAUGGUUCCUACGGGAUAAAGAUUUAUCGCCAAAAGAUGAGUCCGCGUACGAUUAGCUAGUUGGUGAGGUAAUGGCUCACCAAGGCGACGAUCGUUAGCUGGUCUGAGAGGACGAUCAGCCACACUGGGACUGAGACACGGCCCAGACUCCUACGGGAGGCAGCAGUGGGGAAUAUUGGACAAUGGGGGCAACCCUGAUCCAGCCAUGCCGCGUGAGUGAUGAAGGCCUUCGGGUUGUAAAGCUCUUUUGGCGGGACGAUGAUGACGGUACCCGCAGAAUAAGCCCGGCUAACUUCGUGCCAGCAGCCGC